rnacentral:rRNA from 1 species
UACGAAAGGUGCAAGCGUUACUCGGAAUCACUGGGCGUAAAGCGCACGUAGGCGGACUCGUAGGUCAAUUGUGAAAUACCUGGGCUCAACCCGGGAACUGCAGUUGAAACCGCUUGUCUUGAAUACCUGAGAGGGUGGGGGAAUACCUGGUGGAGAAGUGAAAUUCGUAGAGAUCAGGAGGAACACCGGUGGCGAAGGCGGCUUUCUGGACAGUAACUGACGCUGAGGCGCGAAAGCUAGGGGAGCAAACAGG